rnacentral:rRNA from 1 species
GAUGAACGCUGACAGAAUGCUUAACACAUGCAAGUCUUUGGCGAAGCUGUGCUUGCACAGCCUAGCCAAGGCGGACGGGUGAGUAACGCGUAAGGAACUUGCCCUGCAGUCAGGGAUAACAGACGGAAACGACUGAUAAGACCUGGUAAAGUCAGGCGGACUCAUGUCCAGCCUGAUGAAAAGAGAUGCUGCAGGAGAGCCUUGCGUCCUAUUAGCUUGUUGGUGGGGUAACGGCCCACCAAGGCGAUGAUAGGUAGCCGGCCUGAGAGGGUGGACGGCCAAAAGGGGACUGAGAUACGGCCCUUACUCCUACGGGAGGCAGCAGUGGGGAAUAUUGGACAAAGGGGGCAACCCUGAUCCAGCAAUUCUGUGUGCACGAUGAAGGUUUUCGGAUUGUAAAGUGCUUUCAGCAGGGAAGAAAAAAAUGACGGUACCUGCAGAAGAAGCGACGGCUAAAUACGUG